UUGACCCUGGCAAAACCGAUUGCUUUUUUUCCUAGAAGUCUGACCACCAGUUCUUUAAUGGUCCCUCUAGAACUUUUCUAGGAGCCCAGGUCAAGCUCGCAGGCUUAUAAGAACUUGCAGACUUAUUCUCUUCUCUUUUCUGAAAAACCAUUUGCUUUUCUGCCGUAUCUCCUAUAGAGAUAUCCCUUCGGUAACUGGGAUGUUCCCCUCCUCCUGAGACUAAUCAAGAUGCAUUUGAGCUUGAAAUCAUGAGAAAGCAGAAGGUCCUGGCACAUUUACGGGGACAUUGUGAACUUUACACAAGACUGAGCCUCUGGAAACUAAUGACACCCUUCGGGAAGCCAGAUCAUGGAAAACAGAAAUGGGGUUGGUCAUAGAUCGGUGCUUUUCAUGGACCCCAUCGGAGUUGUAUUGGCAGAGACUGGGGCGCCAUUUGCUUCUCCAACUCAUCUGAAAGGAGGAAACCGAGUCAGAGAGGGUGAAAUGACUAUCCGGGAUCACACAGCUGGGAAGUGUCUGAAGCUGGAUUUGAAUACAGGUCUUCUUGACUCCGGUCCCAUUGAUCUAUGCAUUGAGCCACCUAGCUGCCCAAGGAUUGUUAUAUUACAUAAUAAAGCAACAUAUAUAGCUUAUU